UCUGGAAGGGAACGACUGGUAACUUUAUAGUAAAUUGUUUGGAGUCAUUUGUUUUUUAUUACAACUAUUGACGGACGUUUCAUUGCAGGGUAUAUAUGAAGCCGAAAACACCCACAACAAUGGGGUAACUAACAUAAAGCUCGCCGGUGACAAAGUGAUAGUCGCACGGUUGAGUGGAAGAAUCGAUUUUCUGAGACUGGAAACGUACACGCAAGGUUGUCAGAUCGAUUGGGGAUUUACGUCUGCAUAUGGGCGAACCCACGAACGCACCGGUUCGGCAGGAAGCAUUAGUUUAUUUCCGCUAUCCGCCGGCUCAAAUCCGUCCACAGCGUUGCCAGCUCAACAUCACGUAUCCGAGGAGUAUCAUGGAGUUUCACAGCAGGGUCACCGUCGACAUGUUUGGAAGUGGCGGGCGGUACAGUCAUGACUGGCAGCCAGGGCCACACUGUUAAAGUGUUCCGGCUCGAUAGCGAUAGGUUUACGUCGAAAUAUGUAUAAUUCGAAUUUUCCACUCACGUAAAUAUAGAUGGUGCGAUGGAAUGUUUUCUUGGGGGCAUUACCGCAUCGAGUUAGUUUUACAGAUUUAAAUAUUUUUUUCAAGACCUUAUAAUAGUUCCGGCUCGAUAGCCACCUAUUGCAGUUCACCCUAAACGGCCAUUGCGGUCCUAUCACAUGUAUUUUCAUAGGCCAGUGGCAGGCCGAUAUGGGCGCAUCUGGUUACCAGGAUGGUGUGCUAUGUGUGUGGGACUUGAUACGGGGUGCCUGUAUGUACAAAAUUGAAGCCCAUGACGACUCAAUCGUCGCACUUGCCUGUUCCCCGAGUUACGCAAUAUCGGUCGGACUGGACGAACGAAUACGGGUCUGGGAUAGAUUUCAGGGUCAGCCGCUCAACACCAUGACCGUCAGUUAUGCAUAUUCAUCGCAUGUGAUGCUGACGCGGUCCCUUCUCGUGACUGGAAA